AACGAACGCUGGCGGCAGGCCUAACACAUGCAAGUCGAACGCCCCGCAAGGGGAGUGGCGCACGGGUGAGUAACGCGUGGGAACCUGCCCUUCGGUUCGGGACAACCCAGGGAAACUUGGGCUAAUACCGGAUGAGCUCCGCGAGGAGGAAAGAUUUCUCGCCGGAGGAGGGGCCCGCGUCGGAUUAGGUAGUUGGUGAGGUAACGGCUCACCAAGCCUUCGAUCCGUAGCCGGUCUGAGAGGAUGAUCGGCCACACUGGGACUGAGACACGGCCCAGACUCCUACGGGAGGCAGCAGUGGGAAUAUUGGACAAUGGGGGGCAACCCUGAUCCAGCCAUGCCGCGUGGAUGAUGAAGGCCUUCGGUUGUAAAGUCCUUCGCGCACGACGAUGAUGACGGUAGUGCGAGAAGAAGCCUCGGCUAACUCCGUGCCAGCAGCCGCGGUAAU
rnacentral:rRNA from 1 species